AGCUUUUUGAAUUUGUGCAGAGAUUUCGUUAGACAUCAACCCAUCAGGACUGAUAAGACUUCCAAGAUGAAUGAAGUU
rnacentral:pre_miRNA from 1 species